UACGUAGGGUGCAAGCGUUGUCCGGAAUUAUUGGGCGUAAAGAGCUCGUAGGCGGUUAGUCGCGUCUGCUGUGAAAACUCGGGGCUUAACUCCGGGCCUGCAGUGGAAACCGUCUGGCUAGAGUCCGGAAGAGGAGAGUGGAAUUCCUGGUGUAGCGGUGAAAUGCGCAGAUAUCAGGAAGAACACCCGUGGCGAAGGCGGCUCUCUGGGACGGUACUGACGCUGAGACGCGAAAGCGUGGGGAGCGAACAGG
rnacentral:rRNA from 1 species